CCGAAUAGAGGGGUGCAACUCAAAUCUGCCAGAGCCAGGAAAGGCGGACAAGAGGACUCCUGCUAACCCAGCCGUUCUGCCUAGCAGUGCAGCACCUCAAAUCCAGCUCUAACUCCACCCAGGAAGGAGCAGGCUAAGGCUGUGACUCUGCUGGACACACAGUUCCAAUGCAAGAGGGAGAGAUGCAGGCAGUGAAUCGGCGCUGGGUUCUCAGUUAAGAUGUGGCCACAAGACUCGGACAAGCCUCUUUUCUUGGCGCUCUCUCAUCCUGCUGUGGACAGGAGCACUGUGCACCGCCCAGCGUUCUUGGAGGAGGUUGCAAACGAGCCAGCAGGCCAGUCACCGUGGGCUCCUGCAGUUGUGAUCCACGACGACUCUUUCCUGAGAUGGCCAUGAGGGGCACUGCAGGGUGCAAAGUGACGGCUAUACAACUGCUAGCUGUUGUUGGGAUGUAUUCAUGUGCUUGGCCCGCUACAGCUACAAUCCAAGGGUCUUGGAUUCCCAUACUGAUCCCCCCGAGGUUUGUUCACUAUACUCAUUCUGGACUCGUGAGAUGAAAGUGAUGGAGCCAAAAACUGUGCUGCAAAAGCAGAGAAUACAGAUGCGUGAGAGAACAUGCAUGUCUACAGGAGCAAGCAGUUGUUCCAAUGGAGGAGCAAGUGCAACACCGACAGGCGGAGCCGAACCCGGGACAUCUGGAGCUCAGUGUAUUAGCCUCUACAAUGCGAGCAAAAAGCCAGCUGCCUCUCAGGCUGUAGAGCUCACUCCUACUUUCUUUCUCUGUAAGUGAGCUAAGUGCUACUACAUGGGACAGCACACCGCACCCAGAAGGUGUGUGGGUUACACAAGGGUAUUGGGAGGGAAAUGAAGGCAGCAGCGUGUAGAGUUUUUGUGCUCUCUGCAAUAUAUUGGAGCCAUCUAAAUUGGUCUUGUGGUACUGAGGAGGGAUACGGCCGCUGACAUAUUUUUAUCGGGGAUUUUAUUUCUGUUGGCUUCAUCUACAAGAAAUACCGUUUCCUCCUUCCUGAGCCGACGCCGAGCGAGGGGGAGAGACAGGCUGCAGAUGUGAGCUCUGCGCAGCAGUCACAAAGCCCGGUGAAGGAAGGCACCCGGAGCCACCUCAAGCAAGAAUACAGUCGAGGUGGGGAGUCGAAGCAGGCUGAAGGACCAGUGAAGGCAGUACAGAACAAGGAAGAAAACUGGUAGUAUGUAACCUCCAGGAGAAGAAAGCCAACUCAGGUAUCCCCAAUUCCAGUAGAGCACGGCCACGAGGGAGGCCCCUGGCUAGAGAGCCAAGCAUGGGCAAGGCUGAGCUCAUACAUCACUGAUGUUGGAGAGUACCACUAGUACAGGCAAGGUAAAGGCAUGUUCUCCCCAACCCUGAACGUACCUUCUUUCAUGCACUGUGUACUUCUCCCGAGCGAGGCCAGCAUACCAUGUGCAGGCAGAGAUUCACCAUCCCCAAAGCAUCUGGUUCUUGGUGAUCUGCUUGAAUGCAGAAGGAGGCUUCUCCCGGAAGGCAGGUGCUGAUCUGCUGUCCUUUGUUUUGAAUCUUGGCUGUGGUGAUGUGCGGAGACUGACCAUGGAAUGGGGCGUGCUACUGCUUGCACAGGUCUGCCCCAGCGUCUGGCAAUCAGUGAUAUGGUCCAUACAGUGCUGCUUCUUAAUAUAGAUGGAGUCCAGUCGUUUUUGUGGGCUGGACUGUUGGGAUCACAAUGAAGAGUUGCACACUGGUCGUGUAGUCUCCAUGAUUGUAUGAGGUGAGUGUAGCUGCAGUCUGCCCCCUUUUGUGUACACCAUGGGGUUCUGUGCAGGCUGGCCGGGUGGCCCUCAACAGGAUCUCCCUGCGCUGCCAAGCGAA